GUCAAGUAAGAAUACCCGCUGAACUUAAGCAUAUCAAUAAGCGGAGGAAAAGAAACUAACUAGGAUUCCCUUAGUAACGGCGAGUGAACUGGGAAGACCUCAAAUUUUAAAUCACUUUGGUGAAUUGUAAUUUGAAGAAAGUGUUUUGACUUUUCAGUUUAAUCUAAAUCCUUUGGGAUGAGGUAUCAUAGAGGGUGAGAAUCCCGUUCGUGAUUAAACCUCGGAUUGCACUAAUUCACUUUCUAAGAGUCGAGUUGUUUGGGAUUGCAGCUCUAAAUGGGUGGUAAAUUUCACCUAAGGCUAAAUAUAUGCAAGAGACCGAUAGCGAACAAGUACCGUGAGGGAAAGAUGAAAAGAACUUUGAAAAGAGAGUUAAACAGUACGCGAAAUUGUUGAAAGGGAAACGAUUGAAGUCAGUCAUGCUAGUGAGGAAUCAACUUGGUGGUUUACUUCCUUGUGUAUUUUCUUGCUUGGCAGGUUAGCAUCAAUUUUGGUUGUCAUCAAAUAAUUGGGGGAAUGUUGCUUUUCUUCGGGAAAGUGUUAUAGACCUUGAUAGAUGUGGCGACUGGGAUUGAGGUUUGCAGCGGAUGCCUUUGGCUAGUCACCUAUCUUCUGACCGUCACCUCGCUUUUGACAGCUUGCUGAUGAUUGCGGGAUUUGGUGGCCUAGAAGUUAGAAUGUACAUAAAUUCGCUAAGGAUGCUGACGUAAUGGCUUUAAACGACCCGUCUUGAAACACGGACCAAGGAGUCUAACAUAUGUGCGAGUGUU
rnacentral:rRNA from 1 species